ACGCUCGACACCUACGGGAGGCAGCAGCGGGGAAGUAAAUGCACAAUGGGGGAAACCCGUACGAUGCAGCGACGCCGCGUGAGCGAAGAAGUAUUUCGGUAUGUAAAGCUCUAUCAGCAGGGAAGAAACUGACGGUACCUGACUAAGAAGCACCGGCUAAAUACGUGCCAACAGCCGCGGUAAUCUGAGCGGGCUGGCAAGGC
rnacentral:rRNA from 1 species